UACGUAGGUGGCAAGCGUUGUCCUGAAUUAUUGGGCGUAAAGCGCGCGCAGGCGGCCUCUUAAGUCUGAUGUGAAAGCCCCCGGCUCAACCGGGGGAGGGCCAUUGGAAACUGGGAGGCUUGAGUAUAGGAGAGAAGAGUGGAAUUCCACGUGUAGCGGUGAAAUGCGUAGAGAUGUGGAGGAACACCAGUGGCGAAGGCGACUCUUUGGCCUAUAACUGACGCUGAGGCGCGAAAGCGUGGGGAGCAAACAGG
rnacentral:rRNA from 1 species